rnacentral:lncRNA from 1 species
AUUUUAAAUCUAUUCUUUUUCUCCUUGGCAUCCGAUCUGAUCAGAUAAUUUUUUUCUUCAUCUUCUAGUCGCACAGUAGCUGCACAAGAUGUCGGGCCUCUAUGAAAGUCCACACGAAGCCCAAAUCUUACCAAUCUUUCUGGAGUGCUAGCUUCUUAUAGAAAUCACUUGAUGGUUGAUCAUGUUCUUUCUUCGAAUCGCUUAAACUCUUCUAAGGAGGAAGAUAAAUAGUUAGAGGACGACUAGAUGGUGGAAGAAAGAUGAAGAAGAAAACUCUAUUCUCUCUCUUUUCCUCACUAUCUUAAACCCUAGAUCAAAAUCUAGGUCACUCACCCAAGAGGAGACGGUUCU